rnacentral:rRNA from 1 species
CAGUAGCCACGGGAAUACGAAGGGGGCUAGCGUUGUUCGGAUUUACUGGGCGUAAAGCGCACGUAGGCGGACUUUUAAGUCAGGGGUGAAAUCCCGGGGCUCAACCCCGGAACUGCCUUUGAUACUGGAAGUCUUGAGUAUGGUAGAGGUGAGUGGAAUUCCGAGUGUAGAGGUGAAAUUCGUAGAUAUUCGGAGGAACACCAGUGGCGAAGGCGGCUCACUGGACCAUUACUGACGCUGAGGUGCUAAAGCGUGGGGAGCAAACAGGAUUAGAUACCCCCGUAGUCCCUGUCUCUUAUAA